rnacentral:rRNA from 1 species
AUUGAACGCUGGCGGCAUGCCUUACACAUGCAAGUCGAACGGCAGCACGGGAGCUUGCUCCUGGUGGCGAGUGGCGAACGGGUGAGUAAUACAUCGGAACGUACCCAGUAGUGGGGGAUAACGCACCGAAAGGUGCGCUAAUACCGCAUACGACCUACGGGUGAAAGCGGGGGACCGUAAGGCCUCGCGCUAUUGGAGCGGCCGAUGUCUGAUUAGCUAGUUGGCGGGGUAAUAGCCCACCAAGGCGACGAUCAGUAGCUGGUCUGAGAGGACGAUCAGCCACACUGGGACUGUGACACGGCACAGAAUCCUACGGGAAGCAGCAGUGGGGAAUUUUGGACAAUGGGGGCAACCCCUCUCCAGCAAUGCCGCGUGUGCGAAGAAGGCCUUCGGGUUGUAAAGCACUUUUGUCAGGGAAGAAAUCUUUCAGGCUAAUACCCUUGGAAGGAUGACGGUACCUGAAGAAUACGCACCGGCUAACUACGUGCCAGCCGCCGCGGUAA